GACUUACCUGAUUGUGAUGCCAAUAUUGCGAAACACCAUAUUUGAAGACUCAAAUAUACAAUUGUCUCGUCCUCGUAACCCUAGACAACCCAUAAGGCCAUACCCUCCAACCGCUGGAUCGGGUAUCGGCAUUACUGGGCGCACGAGACUAGGGAUUUCCCCCUUGCAAUCACGAAUCCAUGGCGGAUGCUGAACCUGUUGAUCAGAAGAAUUACCUUGAGGAACGUUGCAAGCCGCAAUGUGUAAAAACAUUGUAUGAUUAUGAGAAAUGCGUCAAGAGAGUCGAGAGCGACGGAAGUGGGCAGAAGCACUGCACCGGCCAAUAUUUCGACUACUGGUCAUGCGUUGACAAGUGUGUUGCACCAAAGCUCUUCGACAAACUGAAAUGAUAACGGAACGCAACUUUGAAGGCGCGGCUCCUUUCAGGAAGUCAAAUAGCUUUAAUAAACCCAUGCCUUGGCUUCUGGAAUUUGUUUGCUGAACCUGUGGCAGGGAGCCUCAUUUUGAUACGUUUUGCUGAACCGUCUUUGUUUUUUUCCCCUGAAUCUGUGUGGUAUCCCAAGCGUCGAGCCCAAUUUCUUUUGUAUAAGAAUAAUGAGGUGCCCAUAAAAAAUUGGCCCCAAG